rnacentral:rRNA from 1 species
GACGAACGCUGGCGGCGUGCUUAACACAUGCAAGUCGAACGGAAAGGCCCUGCUUUCGUGGGGUGCCCGAGUGGAGAACGGGUGAGUAACACGUGAGUAACCUGCCUUUGACUUUGGGAUAACUUCAGGAAACUGGGGCUAAUUCCGGAUAGGCGUUCCUGCUGCAUGGUGGGGGUUGGAAAGUUUCGGCGGUGGGGGAUGGACUCGCGUCUUAUCAGCUUGUUGGUGGGGUAGUGGUAUACCAAGGCUUUGACGGGUAGCCGGCCUGAGAGGGUGACCGGCCACGGUGGGACUGAGAUACGGCCCAGACUCCUACGGGAGGCAGCAGUGGGGAAUAUUGCACAAGGGGCGGAAGCCUGAUGCAGCAACGCGGCGGGCGGGAUGACGGCCCUCGGGUUGUAAACCGCUUGCGCCUGUGACGAAGCGUGAGUGACGGUAAUGGGUAAAGAAGCACCGGCUAACUACGUG